GGGAAUCUUCCACAAUGGACGCAAGUCUGAUGGAGCAACGCCGCGUGAGUGAAGAAGGUUUUCGGAUCGUAAAGCUCUGUUGUUGGUGAAGAAGGAUAGAGGCAGUAACUGGUCUUUAUUUGACGGUAAUCAACCAGAAAGUCACGGCUAACUACGUGCCAGCAGCCGCGGUAAUACGUAGGUGGCAAGCGUUGUCCGGAUUUAUUGGGCGUAAAGCGAGCGCAGGCGGAAUGAUAAGUCUGAUGUGAAAGCCCACGGCUCAACCGUGGAACUGCAUCGGAAACUGUCAUUCUUGAGUGCAGAAGAGGAGAGUGGAACUCCAUGUGUAGCGGUGGAAUGCGUAGAUAUAUGGAAGAACACCAGUGGCGAAGGCGGCUCUCUGGUCUGCAACUGACGCUGAGGCUCGAAAGCAUGGGUAGCGAACAGGAUUAGAUACCCUGGUAGUCCAUGCCGUAAACGAUGAGCGCUAGGUGUUGGGGACUUUCCGGUUCUCAGUGCCGCAGCAAACGCAUUAAGCGCUCCGCCUGGGGAGUACGACCGCAAGGUUGAAAC
rnacentral:rRNA from 1 species